GUGAGGAAUAUUGGUCAAUGGGCGAGAGCCUGAACCAGCCAAGUCGCGUGAAGGAUGAAGGUUUUAUGAAUUGUAAACUUCUUUUGCAGGGGAAUAAAGUACGGUACGUGUACCGUUUUGUAUGUACUCUGCGAAUAAGGAUCGGCUAACUCCGUGCCAGCAGCCGCGGUAAUACGGAGGAUCCAAGCGUUAUCCGGAUUUAUUGGGUUUACAGGGUGCGCAGGCGGGUUGAUAAGUCAGCGGUGAAAGUUUGCAGCUUAACUGUAAAAUUGCCGUUGAAACUGUCGAUCUUGAGUGCAAAUGAGGUAAGCGGAAUGUGUUGUGUAGCGGUGAAAUGCUUAGAUAUAACACAGAACACCGAUUGCGAAGGCAGCUUACUGGGAUGCAACUGACGCUCAUGCACGAAAGCGUGGGGAUCAAACAGGAUUAGAAACCCCGGUAGUCC
rnacentral:rRNA from 1 species